rnacentral:lncRNA from 10 species
GGUCGGGCAGGCUAGAGCUUGAGUCCUGAGAAGUUGGGGGUCCCUCGGUGAGCGGACGACACAGUGCCCCCCGGUCGCAAGCAAAACAGACAGUGAUGCCGAAAGUGAGCGUUAUCUAUAAGAACCCUGCUGCCUGGGCACCCCAAGGGAGCUCUGGAGAGCCAGCCUGGCCUCCCCUACCUGACCUCACAGGAAGAAAGGGACGCACACAGGUAGGAAAGCAAAGAAACCCUGAGAAAGAGGAGGAGACGGGGCGGGGCCCAGGACGGGAUCCUUGCCCGCUGCCUCUGAGUUUGUGGGAAGGGAGGGAAAAGGUUGGUGCUGCUAUCCUUUUACGAUGCUUUGAAACACCGUCUGGAUGAAGGGAAAUUAAAUAUCGCAGCUUUUAACUGGAGCCACACCGAAAACACAACCUUGCAGUAAAUAAAAAGACGAUUUACCACCGUGACACUUUC